rnacentral:rRNA from 1 species
UACGUAUGGUGCAAGCGUUAUCCGGAUUUACUGGGUGUAAAGGGUGCGUAGGUGGCAUGGCAAGUCAGAAGUGAAAGGCCGGGGCUCAACCCCGGGACUGCUUUUGAAACUGCGUGUCUUGAGUGAUGGAGAGGCAGGCGGAAUUCCCAGUGUAGCGGUGAAAUGCAUAGAUAUUGGGAGGAACACCAGUGGCGAAGGCGGCCUGCUGGGCUUUAACUGACGCUGAAGCACGAAAGCGUGGGUAGCAA